CCUACGGGUGGCAGCAGUGAGGAAUAUUGGUCAAUGGACGAGAGUCUGAACCAGCCAAGUAGCGUGAAGGAUGACUGCCCUAUGGGUUGUAAACUUCUUUUAUAUGGGAAUAAAACAUGGUAUGCAUACCCUCUUGUAUGUACCAUAUGAAUAAGGAUCGGCUAACUCCGUGCCAGCAGCCGCGGUAAUACGGAGGAUCCGAGCGUUAUCCGGAUUUAUUGGGUUUAAAGGGAGCGUAGGAGGAUUGUUAAGUCAGUUGUGAAAGUUUGGGGCUCAACCGUAAAAUUGCAGUUGAAACUGGGAGUCUUGAGUAGGGUAGAGGUAGGCGGAAUUCGUGGUGUAGCGGUGAAAUGCGUAGAUAGCACGAGGAAUACCGAUGGCGAAGGCAGCUCCCUGGACGACGACUGACGCUGAUGCUCGAAAGUGUGGGGAGCAAACAGGAUUAGAUACCCGGGUAGUC
rnacentral:rRNA from 1 species